rnacentral:misc_RNA from 1 species
UUGAUAUCUGCAUGCAGAUCUAAUUAGUUAGUUUAUUUCAUACUUUCUAUUAUUUUGCAUAUGCUAGUGAUCCAGGUAUAAUCAGACAGUUCAAUUCCAGUUUUCAGUUAUGAUGAACAUAUGGCUUAUAUUUGAUGAUAUCUGAGGCAACUUCAAUGUUCAUGUGUUUGAUAUAAAUAUAUAUAUUUUUUUGAAUAAACUGUAAUCAUUCCUUCUCAACCUUCUUGUUCUUGAAUCCUGUACCAUGUGAUUUAUUGCCUAUUUAUGCCUAUCUAUCCUUAUGCAAUAUGGAUCUCAGUUUGCUCUAUUCUUGUGUUGCUUUCAAUCUGCAGAACAACUCAAAUAACCCAACG